UCUUAAAGUGCUGGGAUUACAGGGGAGAUCUUCGAGCUGAAGGCAGAGCUCAACAGUGACAAGAAGGAGAAGAAGAAGGAGGCAGUGAAGAAAGUGAUCGCAUCGAUGACCGUGGGCAAAGAUGUCAGGGGACUCCAGCCAGCUUGAGCUAUGCGGAUUCUGAGCGUGAUCCCGGGUAGGCGUUUGCCCCGGUGGAACGCCUUGUCAGAGCAGUGCACGGCAGGCCCCCGCAGAGGAUCAACGCAGUGGCUGAGCAACGGGAAGGAACUGGCGCUUGGAGUCCGGAUAUCUGGAACACGGUGAUUCUCAUCUGCUGGCCUGGAGGUGGCCUGCCAUGUAAGAGGACACACAGCAUACCAUGGAGCUGCUGCGUGCCCCAAUCCUGUGCACACUCAACGCCUGGCUUCUGCUUUCCCAGCUCUGACAAUCCUAAUUCUGGCUUCCAAAGCAAACCUGUACUUCCUUCGCAGUUCUCAGACUUGCCUAAACUGUUUAACGUUUUAAUCAAUGUUGUGACCACGACUGAGCUGUGACACUUGAUAUAUCAUAGUAUAUUUUUAUCCAUUUAUAGAUUUGUUAAUAGCAUUUAACUUCAUUUUUCAGAGUUUUAGGAACAUUUCUGGGCUAGGUGUGCUGGCUCAUGGCUGUAAUCCUGACAUUUUGGGAGGCUAAGGCAGGAGGAUUGCUUCAGGUCAGAAGUUUGAGACCAGCCUGGGCAACAUAGUGAGACCUCUUCUCUACAAAAAAUGUUUUAAAAAUUAGCCAGGUGUGGUAGUGAGCUCUUGUUUCCCUAGCUACGUGGAAGACUGAUGUGGGAGGAUCGUUUGAGCCAAGGAGUUUGAGGCUGCAGUGAGCUAUGAUCAUGCACUGCAUGCCAGCCUGGGUGACAAAGCAAGACCUGUCUCUUAAAAAUAAAAAGCAUUACUGAG